rnacentral:rRNA from 1 species
CCUACGGGUGGCUGCAGUGGGGAAUAUUGGACAAUGGGCGAAAGCCUGAUCCAGCCAUGCCGCGUGUGUGAAGAAGGCCUUCGGGUUGUAAAGCACUUUCAGUGGGGAAGAAAGCCUUGGGGCUAAUACCCUCGAGGAAGGACAUCACCCACAGAAGAAGCACCGGCUAACUCCGUGCCAGCAGCCGCGGUAAUACGGAGGGUGCGAGCGUUAAUCGGAAUUACUGGGCGUAAAGCGCGCGUAGGUGGUCUGAUAAGCCGGUUGUGAAAGCCCCGGGCUCAACCUGGGAACGGCAUCCGGAACUGUCAGGCUAGAGUGCAGGAGAGGAAGGUAGAAUUCCCGGUGUAGCGGUGAAAUGCGUAGAGAUCGGGAGGAAUACCAGUGGCGAAGGCGGCCUUCUGGACUGACACUGACGCUGAGGUGCGAAAGCGUGGGUAGCAAACAGGAUUAGAUCCCCUAGUAGUC